rnacentral:rRNA from 1 species
CUUGGUCAUUUAGAGGAAGUAAAAGUCGUAACAAGGUCUCCGUAGGUGAACCUGCGGAGGGAUCAUUACACAAUAAACAUAUGAAGGCUGCACCGCCAACAGGCGGCAAGGYUGRAGUAUUUUAUUACCCUUGUCUUUUGCGCACUUGUUGUUUCCUGGGCGGGUUCGCCCGCCUCCAGGACCACAUGAUAAACCUUUUUUAUGCAGUUGCAAUCAGCGUCAGUACAACAAAUGUAAAUCAUUUACAACUUUCAACAACGGAUCUCUUGGUUCUGGCAUCGAUGAAGAACGCAGCGAAAUGCGAUACGUAGUGUGAAUUGCAGAAUUCAGUGAAUCAUCGAAUCUUUGAACGCACAUUGCGCCCUUUGGUAUUCCAAAGGGCAUGCCUGUUCGAGCGUCAUUUGUACCCUCAAGCUUUGCUUGGUGUUGGGCGUUUUUUGUCUUUGGUUUUGUCCAAAGACUCGCCUUAAAACGAUUGGCAGCCGGCCUACUGGUUUMGCAGCGCAGCACAUUUUUGCGCUUGCAAUCAGCAAAAGAGGACGGCACUCCAUCAAGACUCUAUAUCACUUUUGACCUCGGAUCAGGUAGGGAUACCCGCUGAACUUAAGCAUAUCAAUAAGCGGAGGA